UACGGACAUAUCACGUUGAAACAUUGGUUCCCGUAUGAUCACCGAAAUUAAGCAACGUCGAGCCUCGUAACUACUUAGAUGGGUGACCGCUUGGAAAUACCAAGUACUGUAAG